rnacentral:misc_RNA from 1 species
AGACAAUCCAGGAAAUGAAAAUACAUAUAUCUCCAUCGUCUAUUAAGUAUUAACCACAAGAGUACCCAAUACACUCCAGAAGCCCACAAUGAAUCCAAGUGUCAUGCUCACAUAGAAACAAAUUUCAAGACCAUCAUCUCCUUUUCCUUUUUCCUUCCUCAUUUGUAGUGCCGAGUAUAACUCCACGUGUUGCAAUUCUCAGUGAGUGGAGGACCAUAGAGUCCUUUGUUGCCAACAAAGCUA